UUUCCGUCCGUCCACGCGCUGUUCCCGGAGAGGGGGCGGCUCAGGCUCCUGCACUCGGAGAAAAGAGAAGACGAGGACGCGGUUAACGUCUGUCAGUCAGUCAGUCAGCGGCGCGCGCGCGCGGACAGACGGGCGGAGGAGCUUCAGCUUUUUCAGCUCUUCAGCUUCCACACGCUCCCUCUGGCCGCUCUGUUCACAAACCAGAGUGUCCGUGCAGGCUCGGCCGACAUGUGGACAGCUGAUUUCAGGCGAUGAUAAACAAGAUUUCAGACAGAGAGAGAGAAAAGAAUCUACCCAGGUGCUCUUAAAGAAAAAAAAACGGACAGCAACUAAUUGGUGAAAGUACCGACAGAGAAACGGUGAGGCUCGAGGCUUCGGCUGGUCGCUGGAGAUAAAAUAAAAAAAAAAAAAUACAAAAUAAAAUAAAAAAUAAAAUAAGGAUCGCACGUUGAAGACGGGAGAGGAGCGUUUCAGACAGUCUCAACUGAUAGACAGACGCAUCGAGUUGCCUUUCCUGCUCCUCUACACUCCACCCCUCCAGGAGCGUCACUCUGACAGUGAAAUCCGAGCUGUCAAUCUUUUUAAUUGCUCUCUUUCUUUUUUUCCCUCUUCCUCCUCCCGAAUAGGGUGGACUGGAGUGAGUAAAAAAAAAGUUCUGACUAUAGCACAUCCAUGCUCCUGAUAUCUAGUGAUAUCUCAGUGGAAGAGACAGGAAGGAAAGGGAAAAAAAAAAGAAAGAACUUCACGCGCAUUCAACGCAAGAAGAAGUUUACUAUUUGCAGCAUGACGUAACUACUGGCGAUGACAUCAUCAUCAUCAUCAUUGAGAACGGACAUAGUGGCGACUAAAAAAGAAUCUGAUUUAUACCCAAUGCUGGGUAUUGGAUCAGCACCAUCUCUACUCUUUGUCAUAUAGACUGUAUAUUGUUAUUAGCACUCAUUCAACUCACAAUCAAGUGUAUUAAGUAUUUUUUUUUUUAAGAAAAGCAUAAUUAUCAGUAUUGCCCUGGAAUGACCUGGCGACUUGUCCAGGGUGUACCCCGCCUCUCGCCCAUAGUCAGCUGGGAUAGGCUCCAGCUUGCCCGCGACCCUGCACAGGAUAAGCGGUUACGGAUAAUGGAUGGAUGGAUGGAUAAUUAUUAGUAUUGUAUGCUAUCUUUAUCAAAACAAUACCAAAAUGUGAAACAGUUUUAGUUUUGCUGUACGGUUUAUAGCAUUAUUAUAAGCAGUAAUUAUUUCAUUUUUUUUAAUAACCUUGGGUGGAA